GAUGAACGCUGGCGAGAUGCCUUACACAUGCAAGUCGUACGGGAAUUUCGAAUUCAAGUGGCGGACGGGUGAGUAACACGUAAGAAUUUGCCUUUAGGAGGGGGACAACAACUGGAAACGGUUGCUAAUACCCCAUAUGCUUUCGAGUGAAAUGGAAUUUUCCGCCUAAAGAGAAGCUUGCGGCUGAUUAGCUUGUUGGUGAGGUAAUGGCUUACCAAGGCGACGAUCAGUAUCUGGUUUGAGAGGAUGAUCAGACACAUUGGAACUGAGACACGGUCCAGACUCCUACGGGAGGCAGCAGUGGGGAAUUUUCCGCAAUGGGCGAAAGCCUGACGGAGCAAUCUCGCGUGAGGGAUGACGGCCUAUGGGUUGUAAACCUCUUUUUUCAGGGAGGAAUAAAAUGAUGUGUACCUGAAGAAUAAGCAUCGGCUAACUCCGUGCCAGCAGUCGCGGUAAGACGGAGGAUGCAAGUGUUAUCCGGAAUCACUGGGCGUAAAGCGUCUGUAGGUGGUUUAGUAAGUCAACUGUUAAAUCUUGAAGCUCAACCUCAAAAUCGCAGUCGAAACUAUUAGACUCGAGUAUAGGGGGUAAAGGGAAUUUCCAGUGGAGCGGUGAAAUGCGUAGAGAUUGGAAAGAACACCGAUGGCGAAGGCACUUUACUGGGCUAUUACUGAUAUUCAGAGACGAAAGCUAGGGUAGUAAAUGGGAUUAGAUACCCCAGUAGUCCUAGCCGUAAACAAUGGAUACUAGAUGUUGAACAGAUUAACCUGUGCAGUAUUAAAGCUAAUG
rnacentral:rRNA from 1 species